rnacentral:rRNA from 1 species
UACGUAGGGUCCGAGCGUUGUCCGGAAUUACUGGGCGUAAAGAGCUCGUAGGUGGUUUGUCGCGUUGUUCGUGAAAACUCACAGCUCAACUGUGGGCGUGCGGGCGAUACGGGCAGACUUGAGUACUGCAGGGGAGACUGGAAUUCCUGGUGUAGCGGUGGAAUGCGCAGAUAUCAGGAGGAACACCGGUGGCGAAGGCGGGUCUCUGGGUAGUAACUGACGCUGAGGAGCGAAAGCGUGGGGAGCGAACAGG